rnacentral:rRNA from 1 species
CGGUCCUAAGGUAGCGAAAUUCCUUGUCGGGUAAGUUCCGACCUGCACGAAUGGCAUAACGAUGGCCACACUGUCUCCUCCCGAGACUCAGUGAAGUUGAAAUGUUUGUGAUGAUGCAAUCUACCCGCGGCUAGACGGAAAGACCCCAUGAACCUUUACUGCAGCUUUGCAUUGAACUGUGAACCGAUUUGUGUAGGAUAGGUGGGAGGCAGAGAAACGUGUACGCCAGUACGCGCGGAGCCAACCUUGAAAUACCACCCUGAUUUGUUUGCGGUUCUAACCCGGGACAGUGACCCUGUUCGGGGACCGUGCAUGGUAGGCAGUUUGACUGGGGCGGUCUCCUCCUAAAGGGUAACGGAGGAGUACGAAGGUACGCUAGGUACGGUCGGAAAUCGUGCUGAUAGUGCAAUGGCAAAAGCGUGCUUGACUGCGAGAGCAACAACUCGAGCAGAUGCGAAAGCAGGUCAUAGUGAUCCGGUGGCUCUGAAUGGAAGGGCCAUCGCUCAACGGAUAAAAGGUACUCUGGGGAUAACAGGCUGAUACCGCCCAAGAGUUCAUAUCGACGGCGGUGUUUGGCACCUCGAUGUCGGCUCAUCUCAUCCUGGGGCUGUAGUCGGUCCCAAGGGUAUGGCUGUUCGCCAUUUAAAGAGGUACGUGAGCUGGGUUUAAAACGUCGUGAGACAGUUUGGUCCCUAUCUGCCGUGGGCGUUGGAAGAUUGACGGGGGCUGCUCCUAGUACGAGAGGACCGGAGUGGACGCACCUCUGGUGUACCGGUUGUCACGCCAGUGGCAUUGCCGGGUAGCUAAGUGCGGACGAGAUAACCGCUGAAAGCAUCUAAGCGGGAAACUUUCCUGAAGAUAAGUCUUCCCGGAGGUAAAACCUCCCUGAAGAGUCGUCCGAGACCAGGACGUCGAUAGGUCAGGUGUGUAAGCGCUGUGAGGCGUUGAGCUAACUGAUACUAAUUGCUCGUGAGGCUUGAUCCU